CCUACGGGAGGCAGCAGUGAGGAAUAUUGGACAAUGGGCGCAAGCCUGAUCCAGCCAUGCCGCGUGCAGGAAGACGGUCCUAUGGAUUGUAAACUGCUUUUAUACAGGAAGAAACACACCCUCGUGAGGGAGCUUGACGGUACUGUAAGAAUAAGGAUCGGCUAACUCCGUGCCAGCAGCCGCGGUAAUACGGAGGAUCCAAGCGUUAUCCGGAAUCAUUGGGUUUAAAGGGUCCGUAGGCGGUUUAAUAAGUCAGUGGUGAAAUCUGGUCGCUCAACGAUCAAACGGCCAUUGAUACUGUUAGACUUGAAUUAUAAGGAAGUAACUAGAAUAUGUAGUGUAGCGGUGAAAUGCUUAGAUAUUACAUGGAAUACCAAUUGCGAAGGCAGGUUACUACUUAUGGAUUGACGCUGAUGGACGAAAGCGUGGGGAGCGAACAGGAUUAGAUACCCUGGUAGUCCACGCCGUAAACGAUGGAUACUAGCUGUUCGGAGCAAUCUGAGUGGCUAAGCGAAAGUGAUAAGUAUCCACCUGGGGAGUACGUUGCAAGAAUGAAACUCAAAUGAAUUGACGGCGNGAGAGAGACGACGGACGACGACGAGGGAGGAGG
rnacentral:rRNA from 1 species